GCACUUCCCCAUAGUUUAGAUGAAUGAUUGCUCAGUAACCAGGGAUUGUCCAUCUUCUCCCCGGGCGGAGCUUCUGUGGCCUUCUACCCAGUAACCGGUAGUUAUAAGUCCUAUUUUUGUGGUUUUCUACCCUCAUACCGGUAGUUGUAAACCCCGUUUUAUCCCCUUGCAGAGUUAACCUUAUUUUGUUCAUCCUAACCGAUGACGGUUACUCUUCCUUGGUUUUCUACCCAGUAUCCGGUAGAUGUAAUCCCAUCUUGGACGGUUAUCUUUAUCCAAUAUUCG
rnacentral:lncRNA from 1 species